rnacentral:rRNA from 1 species
GACGAACGCUGGCGGCGUGCUUAACACAUGCAAGUCGAACGGAAAGGCCCUGCUUUUGUGGGGUGCUCGAGUGGCGAACGGGUGAGUAACACGUGAGUAACCUGCCCUUGACUUUGGGAUAACUUCAGGAAACUGGGGCUAAUACCGGAUAGGAUCUCCUGCUGCAUGGUGGGGGUUGGAAAGUUUCGGCGGUUGGGGAUGGACUCGCGGCUUAUCAGCUUGUUGGUGGGGUAGUGGCUUACCAAGGCUUUGACGGGUAGCCGGCCUGAGGGGGUGACCGGCCACAUUGGGACUGAGAUACGGCCCAGACUCCUACGGGAGGCAGCAGUGGGGAAUAUUGCACAAUGGGCGGAAGCCUGAUGCAGCAACGCCGCGUGCGGGAUGACGGCCUUCGGGUUGUAAACCGCUUUCGCCUGUGACGAAGCGUGAGUGACGGUAAUGGGUAAAGAAGCACCGGCUAACUACGUG